rnacentral:lncRNA from 1 species
CUCACGGAGCGCUCUCGGGGAGCAGCGGUUCCUUGGAGCCCGCAGACCAGUCCCAGCAACAGCGGCUCUCCGGCGGUGCUGACCAGUCGUCACGGAAUUCUCGGUGGAAGCCCGCGAUCGGGCUCUGCCGCCCGGCCUCCGACAACUGUCCCCUCCUCCGCUGUGAGGGGGAGGGGGACGCUAGGCAGCCGCGGCUAGCGCUCGCCCAACUUCAGCCGCCUGUGCGAACUGGUGCGCCGCAGUGUGCUGUACCUGGAAACCAGAGAUUUGCGGUGUUCGGAACCGACUCAUCAGGGUCCCCGGCACAACACUUUAUUCUCUGGACGUGCCGGGGGAGGGGUGUUCGCUUUGCCUCCGAGGGACCCCUCCUCUAGGUGUGAAAGAUGCUAGCCCAGCGCCCAUGGGGUGUCGAAAGCAACAUAUAAAGGUUCGAAACUCAGGAAACCUCGGCGAUCGCCUGCGCUAGCACAUACACACGGUCCCGCGCACACUCAGUCUGCGCCCGCCCUUCCUCCCUCCCUGAUUUGCUUCUGGGAAAACAAGCCUUGAGAGCUGCGGACUCGCCCCAAGUCACGGUGCUUAAGCAGGAGUCCCUGGUAGAAACAGGCUGAAAACUCCCCUCCCCGCUCACUGGUGGAGUCAUAUCCUGUGCGGCCUCUAGGAAGCGCUAGACACAUGCUUGCUUCAGAAAGUCAUCUUCUCAUAUUACCUGGUAAUAUAAGGGACUUCAAGAACAUACAGAAGAACAGAGCCCUUGAUCUCUGAAUGACCCUGUGGAAGGAGACUCACUGGGGAGGAAAUAGCUCGCACCAGAUGGUUAUUUGCCACUUGAACUGGAGAGGAGGAGAGAUUGCAUCUACAACCGCCUUGAAUGUGCCUGAUCUUGUCUGAUCUCAGAAGCUAAGCAGGUGGUUCCCCAGACCCUGUUCAACUGUCCCGCAGGCCGGGACAGAAGCCAGCUAAGGUUGCUUGAUAGAAGGCUGAGAAAGAAUGAGGCUGCUGAGUGAAGCCAGAGGGAGAAUACGCUCAAAGACAAGCAGGGUCACUGAAUGGAGACAGUUGGAUUUUUAGGACAUUGCUGCAUGGGCACUGGGCCCUUCCAUAUCUGGAAGACUCAGAACUCCACACACGACAUUUAUGGGACCCCCUCUGCCACAGCCACUGUGGUCUAUGGCAGUAAAUCCACUGAGCUAUUAGAUAUUUUUGUUGGUAGUGGUGUUGGUGGUUUAUUUGUUGUGUUUAUUAUAUCUGAGCCAAUCAAAGAAAUGUAAUAAACAAUAAUUUCUUAAGGAGUCUGCUCGGCUCAGAGAAAGUGAAGAAACCUGUUUGGGGCAGCAGUAGGGUGGGCGUGGGCUGGGCACUGCCAGGAACUCUGCAGCAAGACCAGUUUCCAUUGCUUCCGGACCGGAUGCAGGGCUGCGAUCCGGGCGGAGACCAGAGAAUUUUGCCCGGGAGCGCACCUAUAGGUUCUUCUGAACGACGUCUCCAGGGGGAACUUGGGUAAGCCGCCUCAGCCUGCUAGGAGGUGCCCUCCAAAGCCUCCUUCUCACCUUUUUGUUCUUGGUUACCAUGCAAAGAGAAAAAGAUAGUUUUGUUCUUGGCAUCCUGGCCUGGAGUGUCUGAGAAACAGCAAGUUUUCCCCAGACAUCGGUUCUGUAUUUCCCAUCGGAGCGAGUCCAGCGAAGAGCAGCAUGUUAAGACAUUAACUGCCCAAGGGUGAGAAGAGGCCUAACUUGGAAUUUACUAGUUGUGCAGCCACAGGUCGUUCCUUGUGUUCUCUGUUUUAUAUCUCACAUGGAGAAAGGUGGAAUUCAGAUAUGGAUCAGAACUAAAUCACAGACUCUUCCAAGUUUUCAACUGCUGACUCAUCUUGUAAAUCCUGGGACUUUCCUGAGUCUGUGGACCUUGAUAAACAAAACAAUAUGACCAUCUUUAUCUCCAUUUGAAUGUGACAUGGCUUCUUCAGACAUCAGCUGUUUUUAUCUGCAGAACAGUGCUCUGACUUAGGCAGAGCAAGCACUCUGAGAAGCCUCACUCACAGAGGAGGAAACUGAGGUCCAAGAUGGAUUCUCUGUAUCUGUGAUUCCAUGGCCCAACUGUCCAGAAGCAGAACACCCUCAACUCCAAAGCCAAGGCCCUACAGGAAGCCAGGUUGAAUAAAGCUAUACAAUUGGGGAGCAGAGAAUCAUGGAAUUUUUAUUUCAGAUUCCCUUGACACCAGUAAUCAGGACCCACUUUCUAUCACUUAGUAAACUGGAGACUCUGGUGAGCAGUAAAGGACCACUGUGGCCACAAUAAGCUACUGCGUUCACAGCCUACGGCUCAAAAUCUGGAUCUUUAGGCAGACUGUGGUGCUGCCAUUAGAAGCAAUAAUACAACCUCUGCACCUUUGGAAGGUGGAUGAACACCCUUGUGACUCUGUGUCCACUGUCUAAGGGUGAACUCCAGCAUAGCCUGAUCUCAUAAGAAAGCAGCCAGAGACCAAGUGAGAUUAUCCUGCACUGAAGAAAAUGGGUAAACAAGGGAGUGCAGUGUCUUUAUGAGGUGAACAUGGGAGUCCAGUGUCAUGUCGUUGAGGCAAGCUGAUACCAAGAAAGGCUGUUUCCUUGGAUUUCUUUGUCUGUGAAAUGAAGCAAAACUACACUGCUUGGAUGGAGUGAGAAAAGGACGAGCUCAGUGAGAGCAAGCGACUUUCCCAACAUUAUGGAGAGAGGAGAUGCUGUUACUGGUACCGUCCUGGACCAAGGUCAGCACACUUGGCUGACUAAGCUCAGGAGGCAGUAAGCAGGCUCCGAAAAGCAGUUGCGGGCAGUGCAUGCAGUCUCUUCAUUGUCAAAACAACAGUAGGCUUCAUGCAGCCAAAUGAGUUCUCUUUAAUACCUUGAAAGGACCCUGGAAAAGCCUUGGGCCUGCGCAGAGUGACAAGGCCAAGAGAAAUCCUUCACCCUGUCCGUCUUUACUUAGCACCUCCCGUUUUGAUGUGAAGUUUCUAGGUUUUGUCAUGGCCACUGUGGUUGCUAUAGAAACAGAGCAACAAAACCAAGGUGUUGAAACAUGUUGAAGACUACAGAGCAACACAUCAAAAGGAACCUGGGCUCUGCCACCAUUGAUGGCUGUUUCAGUCUCGGAUCGUUUCCUGCUGGGCUUUUGUAUGAAUGGGAAAACUAAACUUCAUGAUAAUGAUGAGCUUUCUAUGAUGAGAGACCGUGGACCACGGUCGCAAUGUCUAGAGGACGGUCCAUCAAGUCAGAGUGGAGAGCGGGAUGAGAAAAAGACCAUUUCUCCAAGUGAGAAAGGUGGCAAAGUCGCUGGAGCCCAGAAGAAUUAGUCUGAACUGGAAUGUGUUUACCACUCCAACCUGCUUCUCCUAUCAGUUCCCUUCACGGGUACAAGGAAACAUCUGCCUAGUUGUCCAUACGAGGAUUUCAUUACCAUUCUAAAAGUGUUAUCGGACUUCGCUGCCUCCUUCUUCACCAACCUAUGAUCGAUCAGCCUAAUAAAUGGCUCAAAACUGGUCAGAUGUGCUCACCUUAGCAACCAUCUACUGAAACUGAUAUUUUAGUUCUCAUCACCUUCCUUUCUGGGAGUUGCCAUGGUCAUGGUGCCUCUUCAGUGAGGAGAACACUCACAGAAGGGGAGGAACAGAUCUUCUGAAUGGAAGUCAACUCCUUCCAGGACUACCUGUUGCUGUUGUUGUUGUUAUUGUUGUUGUUUAAAUCAUUUCUCUCUCCCCUGGAGAGGGCUAAGAAGUAGCCAGGUCUCUGAGUUGCUGGCCCAGGGCCUGGAGUCCAGCAUAUAUCCAUGGAAAGGAGAGGAACUGAGGUGUGACCUCACGGGAAGAGCUCUACCCCUGUCUUCUGUACUGAAUCCUCCCUUAGGAUAAACGUGGGGGCUGAUCUGGCUAGCGGCACAGCUGUGGGGAACACCAGCCUGGAGAAGAUCUACAGGAGAGCAGUAUCACACCAGGAGAUACUCUACAGGGAGCAGAGUCCCUCCCUUCUUGGUCCGUUGGACCAUUGAGACAGUGCACCCAAGAACAAGAGUUUGCCUAUGGACCUCACGUUGUAAGGGGAAGACUGAGGCUCUGUGCCAAUGGAGGAGGAGCUUGUCUUCUCAGAAGAGCCACCAUACAGUCCUGACUUUUCUGACCACAUUCAAAAAGAGAGGGGCAGAAACAAGGAUGGGUCGGUAAUGGGUGACCUCCUUAGUUCUGCAUGCCCCUUGCUCUCUCGUCCCUAGGCCUCAUGUCGGAGGAGGUGGAUUAGUAGGGUUGGCCCAAGGUACUGUAACUGGGCCUCUUUCCAAUGUGGCCACAUUAAAUACAUCUCUCUGCUCAUGAGUGUGUUCUGCCUUCCCCAUUAUAACAAGGUCAAGAUUGGUCAAAGACCAGCCAUGGGCUCUUCCUGUAGGCUUUCUCCACGCAGCCUUAUGCUGCUAAUCUCAGGAACUUGGACUUGCUAGAUCCAUAACAGAAUUAAUACUCUCUCUAUCUCUUUCUCUCUCUCCCCCCUCUCUCUCUAGCUCAUGUACAGAGGCAAGAUUCUCUCUCUACUUAUGAGGCCACAGAAGAGAAAGACACCUUUAUUUACUUUUGACUGAAAACAUUAUCUGUCUACUGUAGACACACCUGUAUCUUUGGUCUAAGACUCACGCCCUACUCUCCUGCCCUCCACUGCUCGCCCCGGGCUCUCCGGCCGCCACCGCCUGCCCCGCCCGCGCUUCGCCACCCCAGCCUCCCGCACCAGACGCCGGCUGCUCCUGCGCUCCCACGCCCGCGCACCUCGCUCUCCCAGCCCCGCGCUCCCACACCCGGCGCGGAGGAGGCGGGCGCCCGGGGCGAGGGCAGGGCGGCCACGUCAGCGGCGCCGGCUCGCUCCGCCCUCCGCGGGCCUCCCCAUAGAAGGUGAGGACUCUGAAGCUUCCAGAAGUCACUGGCUCAUCUCAGACUCUGGGAGCAGAGCAUGAAGAAGGCAUAAACAACAGGGCCCAUAGGAUUUAAGUGAUUCACUGGAGGCUGCGAGCCAGAAAGUGGCAGAGUGACGUUCGGUCUAGUUCUCCGGAGUGCAGCUUCCUGGUCCCUGCUCGGCAGCCUUCUGGUUCUUUUGGACUGGUAAAGGCAUCUGAACAGGGGUACUCAUCUCAUCUCUGCAGACAGAGCAUGCAUCUUGGCUUCCACUAGGAGUUUCAGAUGAUCUUAAACUCUGCCAGCCCCAAAUUCCAAGCAGCUGAAGGUAUCUAGUCAUUGAAAAUAAAAGCAGUCAUGAUACCUGUCACCUA